rfam:Tupaia chinensis contig44771, whole genome shotgun sequence.
GUGCUGGCUUUGGCAGAACACAUACUAAACUGGAAGGGUACAGAGAAGAUCAACACAGCCCCUGCGCGAGGGUGGCACGCACAUUCGUGAAGCGUUCCAUAUUUUU